GACCGCGUAGCUCUGUUGGCAGAGCAUUGGGCUAGUAUUCCAAAGGUCGUAGGUUCGAUUCCCACCGUGGCA
rnacentral:tRNA from 1 species